UACGUAGGGUGCAAGCGUUGUCCGGAAUUAUUGGGCGUAAAGAGCUCGUAGGCGGUUUGUCACGUCGGCUGUGAAAUCCCGAGGCUCAACCUCGGGUCUGCAGUCGAUACGGGCAGACUAGAGUACUGCAGGGGAGACUGGAAUUCCUGGUGUAGCGGUGGAAUGCGCAGAUAUCAGGAGGAACACCGGUGGCGAAGGCGGGUCUCUGGGCAGUAACUGACGCUGAGGAGCGAAAGCGUGGGGAGCGAACAGG
rnacentral:rRNA from 1 species